rnacentral:rRNA from 1 species
UACGGUAGGGGGCAAGCGUUAUCCGGAUUUACUGGGUGUAAAGGGAGCGCAGACGGCAGUGCAAGUCUGAUGUGAAAGCCCGGGGCUCAACCCCGAAACUGCAUUGGAAACUGUACAGCUUGAGUGUCGGAGAGGUAAGCGGAAUUCCUAGUGUAGCGGUGAAAUGCGUAGAUAUUAGGAGGAACACCGGUGGCGAAGGCGGCUUACUGGACGAUGACUGACGUUGAGGCUCGAAAGCGUGGGGAGCAAACAGGAUUAGAUACCCUGGUAGU